rnacentral:rRNA from 1 species
UACGUAGGGCGCAAGCGUUGUCCGGAAUUAUUGGGCGUAAAGAGCUCGUAGGCGGCUUGUCACGUCGGAUGUGAAAGCCCGGGGCUUAACUCCGGGUCUGCAUUCGAUACGGGCUGGCUAGAGUGUGGUAGGGGAGAUCGGAAUUCCUGGUGUAGCGGUGAAAUGCGUAGAUAUCGGGAGGAACACCAGUGGCGAAGGCGACUUCCUGGCCUGUUCUUGACGCUGAGGCGCGAAAGCUAGGGUAGCAAACGGG